rnacentral:rRNA from 1 species
UACGAAGGGGGCUAGCGUUGCUCGGAAUCACUGGGCGUAAAGGGUGCGUAGGCGGGUCUUUAAGUCAGGGGUGAAAUCCUGGAGCUCAACUCCAGAACUGCCUUUGAUACUGAGGAUCUUGAGUUCGGGAGAGGUGAGUGGAACUGCGAGUGUAGAGGUGAAAUGCGCAGAUAUCAGGAAGAACACCCGUGGCGAAAGCGGUUCUCUGGAACGGUACUGACGCUGAGACGCGAAAGCGUGGGGAGCGAACAGG